AUGUUCUAUGGCCACGCGGCACAUUUUUUUGUUUGAUUGUGAAACGUCAACAAAUAAAGGUUGAUUAAGUACUUGCGAUAUCAGAAAACGUGUACAAUUUACGGGAAACUGUCGGCAUUGUAAUUGUAGAAAGUAAACCAGUUUUUUUUUUUUCGUACGGGCUCAUUAAUUAGGAUUCAAGAUGAUUACAGAUGUUCAGCUUGCUAUUUUUGCCAAUGUGCUGGGUGUCACACUAUUUCUUCUUGUUGUAUUAUACCACUACAUUGCGGCCAACAGCUCAAAAUAGUAGUGAUGCUAAGAACUGUAUGGUAUCAUUUGCUUUCAAGAAGUGAAAUGAAGAUGUGGAUGCUCUCCGGCGAGAAUGUGAACUGUUUUAAAGAAAUGUUUUUACUUGUAUCACAAUGUGAUAUGUGACAUUAAAGUAUGUAGUGAA